rnacentral:lncRNA from 1 species
GGGGCUCACUCUAACGAAUCAAGCACAAGUCUAUACAUCUUAUUACAUAACUACAAUCUCUUUACAUAUACAUGUCCACACUAGCUAUUACAUAUCUCUUCUUCCAUACCCUGCUGAACUCCCUCUGGACUCUGAACCUGCAAACCUGGGGAAUAGGGGAGAGGGAUGAGCUAUACAAGCCCAAUGAGUAGAACUAUAAAACAUGAUCUCAUGGAAUGCAUCACAUCACAGACAUUUCAUCUCAAGGACAGACAUGACCACCAAAAUUCCCACUGGGAAGAUGCCUGGCCCAGCCAGGUCUUACAUCCUCAAUUUGCCUGGCCCGGCCAGGUCUUACAAAC